rnacentral:rRNA from 1 species
UGAGGAAUAUUGGUCAAUGGACGCAAGUCUGAACCAGCCAUGCCGCGUGAAGGAUGAAGGCCUUCUGGGUUGUAAACUUCUUUUAUCUGGGAAGAAACCCCUGAUUUCUAUUAGGGCCGACGGUACCAGAGGAAUAAGCACCGGCUAACUCCGUGCCAGCAGCCGCGGUAAUACGGAGGGUGCAAGCGUUAUCCGGAUUCACUGGGUUUAAAGGGUGUGUAGGCGGGCGUUUAAGUCAGUGGUGAAAUCUCCGAGCUUAACUUGGAAACUGCCAUUGAUACUAUUCGUCUUGAAUUCUGUUGAGGUGGGCGGAAUAUGUCAUGUAGCGGUGAAAUGCAUAGAUAUGACAUAGAACACCGAUUGCGAAGGCAGCUCACUAAGCAGACAUUGACGCUGAGGCACGAAAGCGUGGGGAUCAAACA